rnacentral:rRNA from 1 species
UACAGAGGGGGCAAGCGUUGUUCGGAAUCACUGGGCGUAAAGGGCGUGCAGGCGGUCAGGUAAGUGGGAUGUGAAAUGCCCCGGCUCACCCGGGGACCGGCAUCUCAUACUGCUUGGCUUGAGUACGGGAGAGGAUGUGGGAAUUCCUGGUGUAGCGGUGAAAUGCGUAGAUAUCAGGAGGAACACCGGUGGCGAAGGCGCACAUCUGGCCCGAUACUGACGCUGAGGCGCGAAAGCUAGGGGAGCAAACGGG